rnacentral:rRNA from 1 species
UACGUAGGGCGCAAGCGUUUAUCCGGAAUUAUUGGGCGUAAAGAGCUCGUAGGCGGUCUGUCGCGUCGAAUGUGAAAACGCGAGGCUCAACCUCGCGCCUGCAGUGGGUACGGGCAGACUAGAGUGCGGGUAGGGGAGAUUGGAAUUCCUGGUGUAGCGGUGGAAUGCGCAGAUAUCAGGAGGAACACCGAUGGCGAAGGCAGAUCUCUGGGCCGUAACUGACGCUGAGGAGCGAAAGCGUGGGGAGCGAACAGG